AUGGUUACACAUAAUCUAAAGGCCGAACAACAAGCAAGAACGUCAGGCUUAAAACCAACCCAAUACAUCUGCAUUAUUCAUCCUUCAGUGCAACAGGUAAUUGUACUAAGGGAAAAAUACAUGGUAGGGUCGACUACCGGUGUGCCAAGGUAUUUUCAAAAAUGGUUCUGUAGGAUAAAGUGUAGCAAGGAAGCACAAUUAAUAGCAAGAAAACAUACAUGGGAAGGAGGUAUGCGUUUUCCACUUAGAAGGUCCAGUAGUACGGUGCCAAAGCUGAAUAUGACACUUUCUGGAGUGACUCUUCCUGAGAAAGCAAGCAGUCACAAUGAAAGAUGUUAG
rnacentral:rRNA from 1 species